rnacentral:tRNA from 1 species
GGGCCGUUAGCUCAAUUGGCAGAGCAGCGGACUUUUAAUCCGCGGGUUGUGGGUUCGAUCCCCACACGGCCCA